UACGUAGGGCGCAAGCGUUGUCCGGAAUUAUUGGGCGUAAAGAGCUCGUAGGCGGCCUGUUGCGUCCGCUGUGAAAUCCCGGGGCUCAACCCCGGGCCUGCAGUGGAUACGGGCUGGCUAGAGGCAGGCAGGGGAGGAACGAAUUCCUGGUGUAGCGGUGAAAUGCGCAGAUAUCAGGAGGAACACCGGUGGCGAAGGCGGUUCUCUGGGCCUGUACUGACGCUGAGGGGCGAAAGCCAGGGGAGCAAACGGG
rnacentral:rRNA from 1 species